AUUCAGCCACAGGUCACAGUCUAGAACCAGACACAUCAGUGUCCUCAACUGCAAAGUAGCCAGGAAGCAGCAUCCCAUAACACAGUCCUAUGUCCACUGUUUUGGAGAUCUGGAAUGUAUAAUUGGAGUAGACAUUCUCAGCAGCUGGCGGAAACCCCACAUUGGUUCCAUGACAUGUGGAAUGAAGGCUAGGAUGGUAGGAAAAGAUAAGUGGAAGCUGCUAAAACUGCAUUUACCUUGAAAAAUAUUAAACACAAAGAAACAUUACAUUCCUGGAAAGACUGUACCAUCAAGGACUUGAAAGACUCAGGGACGGGGUGAUUCUUAUGUUCUCACUCAACUUGCCUGUACGGGAGUCAGAUGAAUCUUGGAGAAUGACAGUGGAUUAUUAUAAGCUUAACUAGGUGAUGACUCCAAUUGCAGCUGCUGUACUGGAUGUGGUUUCAUUGCUCGAGCAAGUUAAUACAUCCCCUGGUACCUAGUAUGUAGCUAUUGAUCUAGCAAAUGCCUUUUUCUCCAUACCUCUCAAUAAGAACAACCAGAAUCAGUUUGCUUUUAGCUAGUAAGGUCAGCAAUAUAGCUUCACAGUGCUGCAUCAGGGGUAUGUUAAUUCUCUACCACUAUGUCAUAAUUUAGUUUGCAGGAAUCUUUAUCACCUUUCCCUUCCAAAAGAUAUCACACUAGUCUAUUACACUGGUGACAUGAUGCUGAUUUGACGUAGUGAGCAAGAAGUAGCAACUACUCUAUAGUUAUUGGUAAGACAUUUGCAUGUCAGAGAGUGAAUUUUCAAGAAAAUUCAGUGAAAUUUCUAGGGGUCAGUAUGUGGAGCAUGUGAGAUAUUACUUCUAAGGUAAAGGAUAAGUUGAUGUAUUUGCCUCACCUUCAACCAUAAAAGAGGAACAAUGCCUAGUGGGCCUCUUUGGAUUCUGGAGGCAACAUACUCCUUAUUUGAGUGUGUUACUCUAGUCCAUUUACUGAGUAAACUGCUUUUCGCUAGUUUUCAGUGAGGCCCAGAACAAGAAGAGACUCUGCAACACGUCUAGGCUGCUGUGCAAGCUGCUCUGUCACUUGGGCCUUAUGAUCCGGUAGAUCCAAUGGUGCUUGAAGUGUCAGUGGUAGACAGGGAUGCUGUCUGGAGCCUUUGAUGGGCCCCUAUUGGUGAAUCACAGUGUGGAUCCUUAGGAUUUUGGAACAAAGCCCUGAUAUUUUCUGUGGAUAACUACUCUCCUUUUGAGAAACAGUUCUUAGUUUGCUACUGGGCCUUAGUAGAGACUUAAUACUUAACUAUGCACUACUAAGUUACUAUUUGACCUGAGCUUCCCACCAUGAACUGAGUGUUGUCUUACCCACAAAGCCAUGAAGUUGGGCAUGCACAGCAGCACUCCAUCAUCAAAUGGAAGUGCUUUGUAUGAGAUUAGGUCAAAUCAGGCUCUUGGCACAAGUAAGUUACAUGAAAAGAAGGAGCCUACUUGUCAUGGCACCCACUCCUAUUACAGGACCUUCUCUCUCCCGCCUGCUUCUGUGGCCUCACAGGGGAGCUCCUUGUGAUCAGUUGAUAGAGGAAAAAAGACUCAGGCCUGAUUUACAGAAGAUUCUGCAUGAUAUACAGCUACCACCUGAAAGUGGGCAGCUGCAGAACUGCAGACCUUCUCUGAAACAUUCCUCAAGGACAAUGGUGAAGAAAAAUCCUUCCAGUAGGCAGAACUUCAAGCAGUGCACCUGAUUGUUCACUUUGCUUGGGAGAAAAGGAAUUUCUAUUCUUACAGCAGAAAUAGACAUUUGUAAUAAGCUUUGGCUCACAGUCAGGGUUGCCACUGCCACUGCAAAACAGGCAAAUUGAAUUGAAGCAGCUAAAAAAACCUCAGGUUUUGGUGAAGUUUGCAGGUUGGAUUACCGGCAGCUACUGCAGAGAGAAGUUUGGAUUGCAAAUACGGCAUUUGUUGACACUGGGCAUUGUUUAAUGCCCUGUACAGACCAUCGUACAGGCCAUGUCAGAAUUCCUAGUCUUUUACUUCUAAAUUUUAUUACAUCGUGUGAAAUUUAGAAAAAUAUAAGCUGUUUAUUUUCUUGAUCAAGAUAGGUGAAGAAAUACAGAAAAGAAAUAAAUAAUGAAAGCAAACCCCAACUUUCAGAUUUGGACACACCUUUGCUAAAAACUAUCAACAUUUUCCCCUUGAAAUUCUGAGUGGAAAGAUAUGUGCUUCCCUAAGUCAGGAGCUGUAUAUGCACCCCCCACCCCGAAACAUUUUUUGGGCAAAUGGAAUCAUUAAAGGAAUGAGAGGUAUCUACUCUUCAGUUCCCACUCAUUGACACAAACAGAAAACGCUACUGCAGCUUUCAGAGGUGACAGCUACUGUCUUCAAGGUGGAGAUAAGAGGUAAAUGGAGAGAAGUCAUACCUCAACUCCAGGAAUCUUGAAACUAAAAUGUUUUCUCAAAAAGCCAUGCACACAUUCAAAAAAAACCUUGGAUUUUCUAGAGCAGAUCUAUUAUCUUUUUUCUGUUUUUUUUUUCAUUGUCUCCAUGAGUAAACUUAUAUUAGAAACCACACCUAACAUUGGUUACCAGUUACACUUCUGGGGCCAGAAAGCAAAGGAAAUUAAUAAAAGGGAAACACCCUAGGGAGAAACUGAAUGAACUCUUAGUUGGCUAAAAUUUUGUGACUAAUCAGCAUCCUCUUUAAAUGUACCAUAUCCAAGUCUGACCUUUUUACUUAGUAGAAAAACAAUACAAAGAUUGCAGUUUCCAUUUUAAACACAAUCUUUUUGUUCAAUUGUCAACCAGGAGUGGUUUUAAAUAAAACCACUUUCUGUAUUUUCCUCAGAGGUGUCUUAAUUUUCCCUAUCAAACUCACAACCCAAAGGUACUAAAGUCAGCAAGACCUAAUGUCUAAUUUACUUAUACCUAUGAUGAAAUCUAGUGCCAAGGAUCAUCCAUGGCCAUUGCCCCACUUCAAAUAUUCAUGAGCCUCCACAAUCCAAAAUGCAUUAAAUGUGGGCAGGUUGCCAAUAACACACAAUCUUCCUAAUGACAGGGAGCUUUCUCAGAUCAAAGGAGCAAGAUGUUAAAGACUUCAAACUAAACUGUCUUUGUAAGAGACACCCAGAAAAGAAAUGCCAGAUCCCACACCCUGUUUCAGUUAUGAAACAUCAAUGAAAUAGAGAAAAUAAUAAACAUUUAUUCAUUCCUCUUUGGAACUCAUUUUUUUGCAACAACUUUGCUUCUUUCCUUUCUUACCAUUGCACUCGAACACUAAGGAUGUUAUACACUAAAACUGGAAAAUAUUAUUAAUGCUUUCAAAGACAAAAUGAAUGACUACUAAGGAGUUAAUAGCAUUUAAGCCAAUAUGAUAUCGCUAAUGGAGCCUGAGUGGCAUGUAGAGAAUACUACAAAAGCAAAGUUAAAACAGGGAUAAAGAGCUAUGAAGAAUACAUAUAAAGCAAAUAUACCUAAUAAUUUAAGUUGUCCCUUUAUGUCAUUUGUCAUCUGGCUGCAUCUGCUCUUAAACCUGUGCACCUGUGCUCUGUUCCUGGAAAUAUUAGGCAUGCAGCCAAUUUCAUACCCAGCCAUUCCUAUGGUCAGACUCAGCUAUCAGUGCUUUUGUAUGUAUAUGUAUAUUAAAUCAAGUAUCAACCCCCGGGCUCUGAACUACUUCUGACUGACAGAACCAACAGAAAGUUCCAGGCUAAUUACUUCUAAGGAAUAGUUCCCAGAGAAAAGAGUUUCCACUGACCUACUUUGGACUUACUGAGAUAAUUUAUCAGAUGAAUUUUCCCCUCUACUCACAAAAGUUUGAUCAAAAUGAUGGUUAACUGCUCUAGGCAAGCACAGUCUACAUACUGCAGAAAAUAAAGAGCAGCCAGAUGUUUUCCUGAAAGGGAAUAAAAACAGCACAUUACCAGACAUCCUCGGCAUCUUCGUCACAUUCUGCACCAAACUGGCAAAUAUCACAGGUGGAUGUCUCCUUUUGACUAGUUUCUCCAGAGCCUUCAUGGACUGUAGGACAGAAAAACAGUAAAAGGAAUUCAGGAAAACCACCUCUAUAUAGGAAUACCUUCCACCAGCACAACACAAGUACUCCAAAUGAAGAGGACUCCACCUGAGUUGCUAAAUUCCAUGUCAGAAGCAUGGGCUGUCUUUCAUGACAAAUCUCAUUCCUCCUCUGCUCCCACACUGCCUGACAAGCAGUUCAAAGAGAAAGAUUAAUUCAACUAUUGCGGGAGAUACUAAGGAUGCAUUUCAUUUUUCAUACUGUGGACUUUGUAUUCUGUACUUGAGGAAGGAAGAGAAAAAGGAGGAACAAAUAAAGGAAGAAAAGAAAGAUGGAAGAAAGGAAAGAAGGAAGCAAAGAAGGAAAGAAGUAAAAGUAAAUGAAAUCUGUAUUCAGGAUGUAACGCUUCUUCUGAAGUGCUUGGAGAAUCAGAGAAAAUGGCCCAUUUUCAUUUUAAUGAAUCAUGCUGGAGAAUAAAUUUACAUGAUGUUAAUACUGAGACCUGGAGAUGGUAUGGUAUAAUGCUCAUAAUAAAGGAUUUAGGAACCAU